rnacentral:rRNA from 1 species
GCCGCCGCGGUAAUACGAAGGGGGCUAGCGUUGUUCGGAUUUACUGGGCGUAAAGCGCACGUAGGCGGACUUUUAAGUCAGGGGUGAAAUCCCAGAGCUCAACUCUGGAACUGCCUUUGAUACUGGAAGUCUUGAGUAUGGUAGAGGUGAGUGGAAUUCCGAGUGUAGAGGUGAAAUUCGUAGAUAUUCGG